CAAAUAUGUUUAUUUUUAAACCUUUCCCCUAAAGUGAGCCCAAGGUAUGACAUGGGCAACUGCGUAAACCUACAACUCAAUAUAUUGGCCGACUCAUCCAUGUUAGCAACCUCUCCCACUGUAAUGGCAUCCAAUUUCCUUAAAUUAAUCUUCAAUCCCAACAACGCUUCAAAGUAUAGAAGUAGCCGAUGAAAGUUCCUGAAUUACUCAUUAUCUGCAUCGCAAAGGAUCAGUGUAUCAUCUGCAAAUAGCAAAUGGGAAACCAGUAAGUGUCCAACCAUAAAGCCCAAGGAGGUUAAAAACAGUACAUAAUCAUCUAAUUCCCAAUCCUGCAAACCCCUCUUAAAGGCAAUAUUCCAGCUGUAACUUCUAUUAUGUAUUACUAGUACAUUAUUCACUAUAGCGGAAGGCUCCAAAGCAAUGCGAUGCAAAGAAGGAAACGUGCCUCUAGCGGAUGAUCUCCACGCCAACAUUCAUCCUAAAAUAUGAUACUAUUGACAUAAGUCGAUUUUUCUCGAAAGUCAUUCCAUCCUUGUCGGAUAUACUUGUACAAAAUCAAUCCAUAAGAUUCACGACCCUCGAUCGAGCACCAAUCCCCCUCCAUUGAACCAUACUUCGCUCCUAUGAUUUGUCUCAAAAAACUCUCUCUCUCCAUUCCAAAUUGUCACAACCACUUGCCCAAUAAAGUCUUAUUUAAUAGAACAAGGCUCCUUAAUCCAAGGCCCCCCGUCCUUACAUAAGAACAAAUCACACCCCAGUUAACCAAAUGAAAUUUCCUCUCUUCCCCUAUCCCUGCCCAAAGGAACUCCCUUUGAAUCCUCUCUAAUCUGUUUGCCACUGUAACAGGGAUAGGAAAUAGGAUUAAGAAAUAAGUUGGGAGAUUAGACAAAGUAGAUUUAAUGAGAGUAAAGCGGCUUCCUUUCGAAAGAUACAUACGCUUUUACCUCGCUAACCUCUUCUCCACCCUUUCGACAAUUCCAUUCCAAAUAUGUUUAUUUUUAAACCUUUCCCCUAAAGUGAGCCCAAGGUAUGACAUGGGCAACUGCGUAAACCUACAACUCAAUAUAUUGGCCGACUCAUCCAUGUUAGCAACCUCUCCCACUGUAAUGGCAUCCAAUUUCCUUAAAUUAAUCUUCAAUCCCAACAACGCUUCAAAGUAUAGAAGUAGCCGAUGAAAGUUCCUGAAUUACUCAUUAUCUGCAUCGCAAAGGAUCAGUGUAUCAUCUGCAAAUAGCAAAUGGGAAACCAGUAAGUGUCCAACCAUAAAGCCCCUUAUCAAUCCUUCAACAGCUUUCUCAAGCAUCCUACUAAUUGCCUCCAUAACAAUCACAAACAGCAACGGAGACAAGGGAUCCCCUUACCUCAAACCUCUACUGCUUCGAAAAUAACCCUCCGAGUUUCCGUUGACUAAAACUGAGAAUGAAACGGUAGAGAUACAAAAUUGAAUCCACUUACACCAUCUUUCCCCAAAGCCACAUCGCCCGAGCAUGUACAAAAGGAACCCCCAGUUCACGUGAUCAUAAGCCUUCUAAAUAUUGAGUUUACGUAACAUCCUUGGUACC
rnacentral:lncRNA from 1 species